AUGUUCAAUGAACGAGGUAGUGACAAGAAAUAUCGAUGCGUGAAUUUUAUUCAUGCAAUCGAAAUGAGUACAAUCUAAACACCUUAACGAGGAGCUACGAGAGGGAAAGUCUGGUGCCAGCAGCCGCGGUAAUUCCAGCUCUCGAAGUGUAUACAAAUGCUGUUGCAGUUAAAAAGCUCGUAGCCGGAAUUCGGCGUUACUUCAGAGGUCACCGACGUUGUCGGAGAUUCUCUUAGAGUUGCGCUUAUGCACGCGGAACUAUAUGGCCUUUCAUUAGGUUGUGUGGGAAAACGUGCCGUUUACCAUGAGUAAAUGGGAGUGUUUAAAGCAGGCGUUUGCCUGAACUUUUCAGCAUGGGAUAAUAGAAUAAGACUGCGUCUUAUUUCGUUGGUUUGCGAGAUAGCAGUGAUGAUUAAUAAGGGCGUUCGGGGGCAUUGGUAUUUCUUGGGAAGCGGUGAAAUGCGUAGAUCCAAGAAGGACCACCGGAAGCGAAAGCGUUUGUCAAGGGCGUCCCUAUUGGUCAAGAACGAAAGCUGGAGGAUGGAAGGAGCUUAGACACCUCUGUACUUCCAGCCGUAAACGAUUCGGACUCGGGAUCGGUGAGCGAGUUCUUUUCCCCAUCGGUAUCGUAAGAGAAAUCAAAGUUUUUGCGUUCUGGGGGGAGUAUGGUCGCAAGGCUGAAACUUAAAGGAAUUGACGGAAGAACACACAAGAAGUGGAUACUGCGGUUCAAUUUGACUCAACACGGGGAACCUCACGCGUCCAAGACACAGGUAGGAUUGACAGAUUGAAAGCUCUUUCUUGAUUCUGUGGCGAGUGGUGCAUGGCCGUUCUUAGUUCGUGGAGUGAUUUGUCUGCUUGAUUGCGAUAACGAACGAGACCUCCGCCUGCUAAAUAGCGCUCUGAAUCUUGUAUUCGGUGACGCUUCUUAGAGGGACAACCACCGCAAGGUGGGGGAAGCUGGAGGCAAUAACAGGUCUGUUAUGCCCUUAGAUGGAUGCGGCCACACGCGUUAUACAUUGAAGAAGUGAAUGAGUAAAACCUGACUCGACAGAGCCGGGUAAUCUUGGAAACUUCUUCGUACUGGGGAUUGCUGCUUGAAAUUUUUCAGCAUGAACGAGGAAUUCCUAGUAACUGUACGUCAUCAACGUACGGUGAUUGCGUCCCUGUUCUUUGUACACACCGCCCGUCGCUCGAUCCGAUUGGAUGUAAUGUCGAGUUUGACAGACGCGAUAGGACCUCGAGUCCUGUUGCGGAAGUUGCGCAAGAUUUUGCAUCUAGAGGAACGAGAAGUCGUAACAAGGCAGCCGUAGGAGAACCUGCGGCUG
rnacentral:rRNA from 1 species